UUAAUUUAAAAGAAAGUAGUUAAAUUCUACUAUUAAGGG
rnacentral:tRNA from 1 species